GGUUUGUGGCUCAGUGGUGGAGUGUUCAUCUAGCAGUGUGAAGCCCUGGGUUCGAUUCUCAGCACCA
rnacentral:tRNA from 1 species